CCUACGGGAGGCAGCAGUGAGGAAUAUUGGUCAAUGGGCGCGAGCCUGAACCAGCCAAGUAGCGUGAAGGAUGACUGCCCUACGGGUCGUAAACUUCUUUUAUAAAGGAAUAAAGUGAGGCACGUGUGCCUUUUUGUAUGUACUUUAUGAAUAAGGAUCGGCUAACUCCGUGCCAGCAGCCGCGGUAAUACGGAGGAUCCGAGCGUUAUCCGGAUUUAUUGGGUUUAAAGGGAGCGUAGAUGGGUUGUUAAGUCAGUUGUGAAAGUUUGCGGCUCAACCGUAAAAUUGCAAUUGAUACUGGCAGUCUUGAGUACAGUUGAGGUAGGCGGAAUUCGUGGUGUAGCGGUGAAAUGCUUAGAUAUCACGAAGAACUCCGAUUGCGAAGGCAGCUUACUAAACUGCCACUGACAUUGAUGCUCGAAAGUGUGGGUAUCAAACAGGAUUAGAUACCCGGGUAGUU
rnacentral:rRNA from 1 species